CUAUAUACAGGGUGUACUGGUGCAGAGUCAAUGUGGAGGCUAUAUACAGGGUGUACUGGUACAGAGUCAAUGUGGAGGCUAUAUACAGGGGGUACUGGUACAGAGUCAAUGUGGAGGCUAUAUACAGGGGGUACCGGUACUGAGUCAAUGUGGAGGCUAUAUACAGGGUGUACUGGUGCAGAGUCAAUGUGGAGGCUAUAUACAGCGGGUACUGGUACAGAGUCAAUGUGGAGGCUAUAUACAGGGGGUACAGGUACAGAGUCAAUGUGGAGGCUAUAUACAGGGGGUACCGGUACAGAGUCAAUGUGGAGGCUAUAUACAGGGGGUACAGGUACAGAGUCAAUGUGGAGGCUAUAUACAGGGGUACUGGUACAGAGUCAAUGUGGAGGCUAUAUACAGGGGGUACCGGUACUGAGUCAAUGUGGAGGCUAUAUACAGGGGUACUGGUACAGAGUCAAUGUGGAGGCUAUAUACAGGGGGUACAGGUACAGAGUCAAUGUGGA
rnacentral:lncRNA from 1 species